rnacentral:lncRNA from 1 species
ACCAACCAAAUCAAGCGCUAACUAGCUUUACCGAAUCAGCCGUAUACAAGUCAAAGGAUCCAGAACCCAACAAGGGUAGGAAAAAUAAACUACGCGGUACUUUGCAGAAAUCCAAGACCACACCUUUACUUGCGCCGAGGCAAAAACUUCUAAUACAUCUGUCACUCCUCCAUUAAAGACGAUCGAGUUCCUAUACUUCCAAAUUUCACUCACAAUUCCAACUCAAAUUGCCCCCCCAAACAUCAUUAAUCGAAUCAGAUGCCUGACUCAACCUGAAUUGGAUAAAAUUUUGCAUAUGAUCCAAAUGGAUUACGAAUGACACUCCAAGCCACUCAAAGCAAAGACACCAGACCCUCCAAGCAAAGUCAGAAACGGAGAACAAGUGACUCGGCGACUCUUCAACCUUCCCACACAAGCAGCAUACAGGGUUUUCAACCACCACCCCGCGCCUUACCAAAUUAACCCUAGUCGCAAUCCUAUUCUCCAACACCCUUCAGGCCAAAAAUACAACAAAAGGCAAUACUUUACACCUCCACAACCUACAGUAGAUCGGAGAGAACUCCCCAUCACUUUCUUACCUUAAUAUAAACCGAGUUAACAAUAAAACUUUGAGCCCGCCUUCGAGAUGCUGCUAUCCAACCC